rnacentral:rRNA from 1 species
GCAAGUCGAGCGGUAACAGAAAUUAGCUUGCUAUAUUGCUGACGAGCGGCGGACGGGUGAGUAAUGCCUGGGAAUAUGCCUUAGUGUGGGGGAUAACUAUUGGAAACGAUAGCGAAUACCGCAUAUUGUCUUCAGACCAAAGAGGGGGAGGUUCGGACCUCUCGCGCUAAGAUUAGCCCGGGUGAGAUUAGCUAGUUGGUGAGGUAAUAGCUCACCAAGGCGACGAUCUCUAGCUGGUCUGAGAGGAUGAUC